CCCCGCUUAGCUCAAUGGUGGAGCGCGCCGCUGUAGACGGUGAGGUUGUGAGUUCAAGUCUCACAGCGGGGA
rnacentral:tRNA from 1 species